rnacentral:misc_RNA from 1 species
GAUGAAGAACGUAGCGAAAUGCGAUACGUAAUGUGAAUUGCAGAAUUCAGUGAAUCAUCGAGUCUUUGAACGCACAUUGCGCCCCCUGGUAUUCCGGGGGGCAUGCCAGUCCGAGCGUCAUUGCUGCCCUCAAGCCCGGCUUGUGUGUUGGGUCUCGUCCCCCUUCCCGGGGGGACGGGCCCGAAAGGCAGCGGCGGCACCGCGUCCGGUCCUCGAGCGUAUGGGGCUUUGUCACCCGCUCUGUAGGCCCGGCCGGCGCUUGCCGAUCAACCAAAACUUUUUUCCAGGUUGACCUCGGAUCAGGUAGGGAUACCCGCUGAACUUAAGCAUAUCAAUAAGCGGAGGA